UGAUGCUUUAGACCGCUGGUCGAUCUUAAAUCGCUGUGUAAAUAUAAAAAGGGAAAAAGGGAGAAACAAAUAUUUAGCUUUGUUUUCAUUUUCUCCAGACCAAAGCUGAGCAGGAACACAAAGUUUGGUUGUGUCUUAGUCAACUGGAGUAAGAACAAAGGCCAUUUAUUCAACUGCCUUGAUUCUUGCCUUUAGAAGCCAUAUUAUUGGUUUGCGUGUGUACGUAUGUGUGUACGUAUGUGUGUGCUUCUGCGCGAAUGUGUAUGCAUGCAUGUGUUUGUAUGUUGUACGUUUUCUCUGUUUUGAAAAAAAGAAAAGAAAAACAGAGUUGAGCAUUAUUUCUAUUACUUGAAUUCAUGUGUGGUCUGUUCUCAUUCCUUAAGAGGUUGUUGACGCGUCGCUGUGCGUCGAGGUGCGUUUCACAGCUCCGCGGUGACACCGGCGGGAGAUACGCUGUAAUCUAUCAAACGUGUUUAUGAAUCGACGUGUGCAUGUAUAGCCCUAAAAUGGAUAUAAAUAUUCUGCAAUAGAUCCGCCCAGCCUUACAUAAUGUCUGUUGCUUUAAAUAUGUAUGGAAUUUGUUUUUGUAGAGAUGAAAAAUAAUAUGUGUCUUUAUAUUGUCAUUUACUGUAAGGUGUUGUGAUGUCGGGUCUUUGUAAGAUUUUUAAAAAUUUGUUCAUGUACCCAGAAAGUAUGGCAAUUCUUCACAAAGGUCUGGAAUAGCUAAAUUCACGAUAAAGUAUCGGCCUAACUGACUAAUUAACCACAGUGGGUAAUGUGGCUUCACACACGUUAAAAUUGUCCUAUAGCUACUAAGAAAGCCGUUUAAUGGCCCUGCCACAGUUCCCCUUUUGGUCUGCCUUGGUCCGUGUUUUUAAAAAGGUUUCCGCUUUUGAGCUGAAUUCAUCUGCCUUUGAGUUCCUUCCCUCCCCUCUAAGACAGUUUGAAGUGGCUCAGGUGUGCUUUAUAUGCAUAUGUGGUUCCAAGACUCUCAAACAGCAGUGAGCGACUGGAUAUAUCUGACUGCAGCCCACAUCGUAAUCCUGUUAAAACCGGUUUCAGCCUCUCAGACCUGUGUGCUUUCUCCCGGCUCCAGAAAAACAGGAAAACCGUUCGCAAGAUCUUUUCCAGACAUUGCGCCAAAACGUUUAAAGAAUCUGCCAUGUUUUUGACGGAUGUGCGUGUUUGUAGUAGUACGAUUAUAGCGCCAUUCCAAAGCACGGACUGCUGGUCAGAGUCCUGUAUUCAAACCAAACUUAUCGUUUUUUUCCAUACAUUUUGUUACGUGAAUGUUGACUCUUUGUGUACUUUUUGAUGGAUUUUAGUCUUCUGAUGAUUGGCGCGACCGUCAUAUGAAUUUAUGAAAGGCGCAACAGAAGAACCCAGCGGUUUGGACUAGAUUUGGAUUAGAUUUUGUCAGACAGAGAGCGAUUUCAAAGGCUGCGUGUUCCCCGUCUCCCACUAGCAGCUACUGCUGCCUCUUGCUCGAGUUUCUCCACUUUCACAAACGGACACUUUUAGAAUCUUACAGUUUGAAAUGUUGACAGUUGCGCUCUCCUGCUGCUUCCGUGCCCAUUACACGACAUUGACAGAUGCUAGCAAUACGUUACACUCGCUGGAGCCAAGAAUUCGCUACUUCACUAACUUGUACUCCAAAUACUGCCGAAGGCAAUCCUUGCCCAAGCUUUCCCCCAAGUGCUGAAAUCCGGCUCGUGCCCAGUCUCGGAAAGUGCCCGUUUGAUCCUGGUCGCCGAACCACUGGAAAGGUCAUACGUUCAAAAGCCACGUCCUGAUUAAUUCCAAUUCUGUGCUAGUUCCUUUUCUCCAAACACAGCUUCAAACUUCAAACAGGCGCUCUACCGUAGGUUAGCUUUGCUCCUGUCUCCGUGGCUUUGUACAGAGAGCCGUCACCCCCCCAUGCCGGCAUCAGAGGGUUGCUGGUUAACGUCCCAGACCGAUAAAAUAAAAUAAAGUGAAAAACCAAAGAAAUGCAAAUGGUGUCCAUCAGUCGCCUGUAUUUCAUAAACAUAGAGGCUUUGGCUGUGAUGUAGUCCUGCUCUUAAUCUAGGUCUAAAAUAAUAGAUUAAUUCAAGUUACUUUGUUUGGGGAUCCCAAAUUCUUCAUAUUGCCUAAAAUAGCCACCUCUGUCCGAGUAUCACUUCACGCCUCGUAAAGCGGGGAUGUCCAGUCGUGUGCCACGGCCAAGAGUGUGCAGGUUUUCAUUCCAACCAAUCACUGAUUUCACUGAUUAACCGGAGAGGAGGGAACGAGUGAACGAAAUCAGCGGGUGUUGUGAUUGGCAUAUUCCCCGCCCUCCCUGGCACACGAUUGGACAUCCCAGCCCUAAAGACUUCAACGGAGUGCACAUUUAACCCACCAGCACAUGGAAGGCUGUCUAAAUGGGAUAUAAUUUAUAAAGGACAUAAAUGUAAACAUAUUAAAAAAGGGAAGAUAUUUUCCCAUUUUAAUGAGGACCCCCGAAAGUUCUUGGUCCCCGGGCAGUCAGAACCCUUGUUUGACACUCCCCGAAAUGAUCCGAGGUCAGCUCGAAAUGAGAUCUGAGAAGACAAACGUUUGGGACUUCUGAGUGAGUAAGCGUUGCUACGUUAACCCAAGACGGCUUAGCUGUGCUAACCAUCCGUCAGUGUUAAACUGAGGGGUUUUCUUUGGCCUCGUCAAUCACAUGCGUAGUUAAAACAGGCACGUUACCUUAGUCAUAUCCAUGAGUGAUGCGUAUGCAUUUCUCACUGUUGCCGUGGAUACCCUACAAUAUUUGGUUAAUUUCGGUUCUGUGCAAGGGAGAAAAAUGUACGAACGGAUGCUAGCUGCAUGUUGAAUAUUCCAAUAUUUUGCAAUAACAUAAAAUGGUAAUAUAAUAACAUGUUGUAAUAUUAAGUAAAGUUAAGCAAUAGUCUGGAAUUUAGUUGAACUUGUAUAUAAAAACAUUUUUUUUUUCAGAAUAGUGACAAGAAAUCAGCAAAAAACACUUUGAAAUAGCAGUACCAUCCUGUACCAUUACUGCCUGCAGAUGCUGCAGCUCAUGGAUCCUACAGUUCACUAAUAAUAAUAAUAAUAAUAAUAAUAAUAAUAAUAAUAAUGAUAAUAAUAAUAAAGAACCAACAUUCUGCUUGUACUUAUUCUCUCCUUUGCAUAAACCAAAUCAUCAACGAAGCAAAAAAAGAGAGAAAAAAACAAUGGCAAAAACGUCUCACUAACCCCAUUGUUACCAGCUCAGUAAAGUUUCAAAAUGAGGAUGUUAUCCACAAUACUGAGUGCAAUACGACCGUGUUUGUCUACAAAUCAUAUGUAUAUGUGUAUCACUGGAGACUGGAGAAAUACUUUCCUUUUGCCUUUUUAUGUGAGUCACACCUUCGCAAUAAGGCUGUCCCAAAAACCCAUUUUUUUAUGUUUUAUUAUCUCAUUUAUUGUUGCCUUUUUUAAAUCGAAUGGUUUAGUGGCCAGACCUGGGAGGUCUGUCCUGUAUGUACAUAUUCUUCAUUGUUUUUUUGUUUUUGUUUGUUUGUUUUAUUUUAAGAAAUUCAAAGUGCCUCCCUGUUGGUGGGAUUAUGGUUGGGGGAGAAAGGGGGUGUUUUUGUGGGCUCAUUCCACUCCUUUAUUUUCCCCUCUUUUUUUCCCUCCCUUCUUUUCCUGCUCCUCACUCCACCCGUUGGGAGAGGCUAGGAAACGAGGUGAAGACGAAGGAAUCUAGAGAAACAGAAUGCUCUCGCUCCGUCUAACGUCUGUUUGAAGCCACGUCAGUUACAGACGUGGCAGACGGGGAGAGGUGGAUCCACAGGUCAGUUACAGAUGUGGCAGAUCAGUUACAGACAGUUACAGACAUGGCAGACAUGGCAGACGGGGAGAGGUGGAUCCACAGGUCAGUUACAGACAUGGCAGACGGGGAGAGGUGGAUCCACAGGUCAGUUACAGAUGUGGCAGAUCAGUUACAGACAGUUACAGACAUGGCAGACAUGGCAGACGGGGAGAGGUGGAUCCACAGGUCAGUUACAGACGUGGCAGACGGGGAGAGGUGGAUCCACAGGUCAGUUACAGACGUGGUAGAUGGGGAGAGGUGGAUCCACAGGUCAGUUACAGACGUGACAGAUGGGGAGAGGUGGAUCCACAGGUCCAGGUUAAACAGUACAUAACACUUUCUGAAAAAAUACUUCCACAAAAGGGAUGCACUCCUGUUUCCUCGCUCAAAGGAAAGUCCGGGAAACUUCCUGACUUCUACUUCUAGCUCCUGGAAAAGAUGGCAGGCCUGGGUCGAUUUUUCGGGUGUGGAGCAAGGAAAAGAAAAUGAGGAGAAAAAUAAGAGACUGGAAUGAGUCUCUGUGACUGUCACUUCCUGGGAGAGAUUUUCGUCAGCGUGUCUCACAUACACGUUUUCCUGUGUUUACACGUUUAUCUGAGUUUAUAUAAGUUUGUGCCAACUGGAGAGUUUGCUGUAAGCGUGUGCUGAACACCAUAUAGAUAAGGUUACACCUCUCCACGUUUCAUAACCCUUGCUGCUUUUUAAUCAUCAUUUAUUUGUCUGUUUAUUUCACGCCUUGAUAAGCUGUAAUAAACUUGAUCAAUGGA